rnacentral:rRNA from 1 species
GNUCCUGGCUCAGGGUGAACGCUGGCGGCGUGCUUAACACAUGCAAGUCGAGCGAAGCACUUAGGAAAGAUUCUUCGGAUGAUUUCCUAUUUGACUGAGCGGCGGACGGGUGAGUAACGCGUGGGUAACCUGCCUCAUACAGGGGGAUAACAGUUAGAAAUGACUGCUAAUACCGCAUAAGACCACAGCACCGCAUGGUGCAGGGGUAAAAACUCCGGUGGUAUGAGAUGGACCCGCGU